rnacentral:rRNA from 1 species
UACGAAGGGGGCUAGCGUUGCUCGGAAUCACUGGGCGUAAAGGGUGCGUAGGCGGGUCUUUAAGUCGGGGGUGAAAUCCUGGAGCUCAACUCCAGAACUGCCUUCGAUACUGGCGAUCUCGAGUUCGGGAGAGGUGAGUGGAACUGCGAGUGUAGAGGUGAAAUUCGUAGAUAUUCGCAAGAACACCAGUGGCGAAGGCGGCUCACUGGCCCGAUACUGACGCUGAGGUGCGAAAGCGUGGGGAGCAAACAGG